rnacentral:lncRNA from 1 species
GUUUCCAGUGUUGAAAGAGAAGAUGUAUGAUGUCAACUUCCCUUCAGGUCACUGAAGACAGAGAAAGACUCUGGAAGUACCUGACAUGAGAAAAGUUGACAGUUUCCAUCAUGUCUCUACUAUAGUUUGCUACAUUAGAGCCAUAAGGGAAUUUCCUUUCAGAAUUCACACUUUGGGUAAGAGAAUAGAGAGAGAGAGAAGCUUUCAGACACACACACAAGUUCUUUAUUCACUUCACUAGCCUGCCAUCGAUAGGAAAGUGCGGCAUCAUGCCUAGAGAGCUGGGAAAAUGAAGUGUUUUACAUCCUUGAAAGGAAGCAUGAUGUACUGGAUGACAUUCUACAGUUGGACUGAGGAAGACCUGUGUUAAAAAUCUACUUUAGAGACUUUCUGUGUAUCCUUGAGAAAAUCACUUACCUUUUCCUUGCUUCAGUUUUCUCAUCUCAAAAGUGGCAAUGGUAAAAUCUAUGGCAUUUGGCUCAUGGUUCUGUUAUGAGGAUCCUAGAUCUAGAGCUUGAAAGAACCUGAGAGACUAUACAGUCUAACCUCUUCAUUUUAUAGGUGAGUAAUUUGAGGCCCCAAAAAUAUUCCAUCAUUUAUCUAAGGCCAUAUAGGCAGUAAACAUCAGAAAUGGGAUUUGAAUGCACAUCCUCACAUUCCAUAGCAGUGUUUAUCCCAAUGUACCAUGUUGUUUUGAUUAUUUAGUUGUUUCAAUUGUAUUUAACUCUUUCAACCCUAUUUGGGAUUUCCCUGUGCAAAGAUACUGAUGUGGUUUGUCAUUUCCAUCUCCAGUUUCUUUUAUAAAUGAGGAAACUGAGGCAAAUAGGGUGAAGUAACUUGUCCAAGGUCACACAGCCAGUAAGUUUCUGAGGUUGGAUUUGAACUCAGUUCUUCCUGUCUCCAGGCCUGAUCCUCUAUACAAUGUGCUACCUGGUUGUCCUUGUCUACCAUGUUGCUACUUUGUACAUCUUAAAGAAUUAUAGUAGAAAUCCAUUUUAUGCAAAUUCAACACAUGCAAAUUAAGGUAUUGGCAGUGGAAAAAAAUUAAGUCAGAAAGAGAUGAAAAAUAAAAAAAUAAUGUGCUAAAUCCA